UACACUCCUACGGGAGGCAGCAGUGGGGAAUAUUGCACAAUGGGCGCAAGCCUGAUGCAGCCAUGCCGCGUGUAUGAAGAAGGCCUUCGGGUUGUAAAGUACUUUCAGCGGGGAGGAAGGCGAUAAGGUUAAUAACCUUGUUGAUUGACGUUACCCGCAGAAGAAGCACCGGCUAACUCCGUGCCAGCAGCCGCGGUAAUACGGAGGGUGCAAGCGUUAAUCGGAAUUACUGGGCGUAAAGCGCACGCAGGCGGUCUGUCAAGUCGGAUGUGAAAUCCCCGGGCUCAACCUGGGAACUGCAUUCGAAACUGGCAGGCUAGAGUCUUGUAGAGGGGGGUAGAAUUCCAGGUGUAGCGGUGAAAUGCGUAGAGAUCUGGAGGAAUACCGGUGGCGAAGGCGGCCCCCUGGACAAAGACUGACGCUCAGGUGCGAAAGCGUGGGGAGCAAACAGGAUUAGAAACCCUAGUAGUCCCAUGAU
rnacentral:rRNA from 1 species